AUGCGAUACGUAAUGUGAAUUGCUUUCCGUGAAUCAUCGAAUCUUUGAACGCACAUUGCACUCCUCUGGAGUAUGCCUGUUUGAGAAUCUAUAGUAUUAAUUUCUUGUGAUUUCAUUCGUGAAAUAGCAAGGAGAUAUGAAGUUCCCAUCUCUUGGUGGGUUCUUUUAAAUAGAUUGCUACUAGUAAUACGAAAAUGCUUGACAUUUCUCUAUAUCUAUUAGAAAAGUAUGUGUAUGAAACUGUGGUUUCUCAUAAUGCCUACUAUUUUAGAGGAGAUUUGGAGUUUUCAUAUGAACAGUUUAGUCCAUACCUAAAAAGGCGCAAGCCUUGAACCAUGGUCUCAAAUCAGGUAGGAAGACCCGCUGAACUUAA
rnacentral:misc_RNA from 1 species